CGGUUCUAUUUUGUUGGUUUUCGGAACCCCGAGGUAAUGAUUAAUAGGGACAGAUGGGGGCAUUCGUAUUGCGACGUUAGAGGUGAAAUUCUUGGAUCGUCGCAAGACGGACAGAAGCGAAAGCAUUUGCCAAAAAUGUUUUCAUUAAUCAAGAACGAAAGUUAGAGGUUCGAAGGCGAUCAGAUACCGCCCUAGUUCUAACCAUAAACGAUGCCAGCUAGCGAUCCGCCGAAGUUCCUCCGAUGACUCGGCG
rnacentral:ncRNA from 1 species